rnacentral:rRNA from 1 species
UACGUAGGGUGCGAGCGUUGUCCGGAAUUAUUGGGCAUAAAGAGCUCGUAGGCGGUGUGUCACGUCGGCCGUGAAAACCUGCAGCUUAACUGUGGGCGUGCGGUCGAUACGGGCAUCACUGGAGUUCGGCAGGGGAGACUGGAAUUCCUGGUGUAGCGGUGAAAUGCGCAGAUAUCAGGAGGAACACCAGUGGCGAAGGCGGUGCUCUGGGCCGGAACUGACGCUGAGGAGCGAAAGCGUGGGGAGCAAACAGG